rnacentral:rRNA from 1 species
GGGUUGUGAGGUUAAGCGACUAAGCGUACACGGUGGAUGCCCUGGCAGUCAGAGGCGAUGAAGGACGUGCUAAUCUGCGAAAAGCGUCGGUAAGGUGAUAUGAACCGUUAUAACCGGCGAUGUCCGAAUGGGGAAACCCAGUGUGAUUCGUCACACUAUCGUUAACUGAAUACAUAGGUUAACGAGGCGAACCGGGGGAACUGAAACAUCUAAGUACCCCGAGGAAAAGAAAUCAACCGAGAUUCCCCCAGUAGCGGCGAGCGAACGGGGAGCAGCCCAGAGUCUGAAUCAGCUUGUGUGUUAGUGGAACGGUCUGGAAAGUCCGACGGUACAGGGUGAUAGUCCCGUACACCAAAAUGCACAGGCUGUGAACUCGAAGAGUAGGGCGGGACACGUGGUAUCCUGUCUGAAUAUGGGGGGACCAUCCUCCAAGGCUAAAUACUCCUGACUGACCGAUAGUGAACCAGUACCGUGAGGGAAAGGCGAAAAGAACCCCGGCGAGGGGAGUGAAAAAGAACCUGAAACCGUGUACGUACAAGCAGUGGGAGCACCUUCGGGUGUGACUGCGUACCUUUUGUAUAAUGGGUCAGCGACUUAUAUUCUGUAGCAAGGUUAACCGUAUAGGGGAGCCGCAGGGAAACCGAGUCUUAACUGGGCGUUAAGUUGCAGGGUAUAGACCCGAAACCCGGUGAUCUAGCCAUGGGCAGGUUGAAGGUUGGGUAACACUAACUGGAGGACCGAACCGACUAAUGUUGAAAAAUUAGCGGAUGACUUGUGGCUGGGGGUGAAAGGCCAAUCAAACCGGGAGAUAGCUGGUUCUCCCCGAAAGCUAUUUAGGUAGCGCCUCGUGAAUUCAUCUUCGGGGGUAGAGCACUGUUUCGGCUAGGGGGUCAUCCCGACUUACCAACCCGAUGCAAACUACGAAUACCGAAGAAUGUUAUCACGGGAGACACACGGCGGGUGCUAACGUCCGUCGUGAAGAGGGAAACAACCCAGACCGCCAGCUAAGGUCCCAAAGUCAUGGUUAAGUGGGAAACGAUGUGGGAAGGCACAGACAGCCAGGAUGUUGGCUUAGAAGCAGCCAUCAUUUAAAGAAAGCGUAAUAGCUCACUGGUCGAGUCGGCCUGCGCGGAAGAUGUAACGGGGCUAAACCAUGCACCGAAGCUGCGGCAGCGACACUAUGUGUUGUUGGGUAGGGGAGCGUUCUGUAAGCCUGCGAAGGUGUGCUGUGAGGCAUGCUGGAGGUAUCAGAAGUGCGAAUGCUGACAUAAGUAACGAUAAAGCGGGUGAAAAGCCCGCUCGCCGGAAGACCAAGGGUUCCUGUCCAACGUUAAUCGGGGCAGGGUGAGUCGGCCCCUAAGGCGAGGCCGAAAGGCGUAGUCGAUGGGAAACAGGUUAAUAUUCCUGUACUUGGUGUUACUGCGAAGGGGGGACGGAGAAGGCUAUGUUAGCCGGGCGACGGUUGUCCCGGUUUAAGCAUGUAGGCUGGUUGUCCAGGCAAAUCCGGAUAAUCAAGGCUGAGGUGUGAUGACGAGGCACUACGGUGCUGAAGUAACAAAUGCCCUGCUUCCAGGAAAAGCCUCUAAGCAUCAGGUAACAUCAAAUCGUACCCCAAACCGACACAGGUGGUCAGGUAGAGAAUACCAAGGCGCUUGAGAGAACUCGGGUGAAGGAACUAGGCAAAAUGGUGCCGUAACUUCGGGAGAAGGCACGCUGGUGUGUAGGUGAAGCCCCUGCGGGUGGAGCUGAGACCAGUCGAAGAUACCAGCUGGCUGCAACUGUUUAUUAAAAACACAGCACUGUGCAAACACGAAAGUGGACGUAUACGGUGUGACGCCUGCCCGGUGCCGGAAGGUUAAUUGAUGGGGUUAUCCGUAAGGAGAAGCUCUUGAUCGAAGCCCCGGUAAACGGCGGCCGUAACUAUAACGGUCCUAAGGUAGCGAAAUUCCUUGUCGGGUAAGUUCCGACCUGCACGAAUGGCGUAAUGAUGGCCAGGCUGUCUCCACCCGAGACUCAGUGAAAUUGAACUCGCUGUGAAGAUGCAGUGUACCCGCGGCAAGACGGAAAGACCCCGUGAACCUUUACUAUAGCUUGACACUGAACAUUGAGCCUUGAUGUGUAGGAUAGGUGGGAGGCUUUGAAGCGUGGACGCCAGUCUGCGUGGAGCCAACCUUGAAAUACCACCCUUUAAUGUUUGAUGUUCUAACGUUGGCCCCUUACCGGGGUUGCGGACAGUGUCUGGUGGGUAGUUUGACUGGGGCGGUCUCCUCCCAAAGCGUAACGGAGGAGCACGAAGGUUAGCUAAUCCUGGUCGGACAUCAGGAGGUUAGUGCAAUGGCAUAAGCUAGCUUGACUGCGAGCGUGACGGCGCGAGCAGGUGCGAAAGCAGGUCAUAGUGAUCCGGUGGUUCUGAAUGGAAGGGCCAUCGCUCAACGGAUAAAAGGUACUCCGGGGAUAACAGGCUGAUACCGCCCAAGAGUUCAUAUCGACGGCGGUGUUUGGCACCUCGAUGUCGGCUCAUCACAUCCUGGGGCUGAAGUAGGUCCCAAGGGUAUGGCUGUUCGCCAUUUAAAGUGGUACGCGAGCUGGGUUUAGAACGUCGUGAGACAGUUCGGUCCCUAUCUGCCGUGGGCGCUGGAGAAUUGAGGGGGGCUGCUCCUAGUACGAGAGGACCGGAGUGGACGCAUCACUGGUGUUCGGGUUGUCAUGCCAAUGGCACUGCCCGGUAGCUAAAUGCGGAAGAGAUAAGUGCUGAAAGCAUCUAAGCACGAAACUUGCCCCGAGAUGAGUUCUCCCUGAGACUUUAAGUCUCCUGAAGGAACGUUGAAGACGACGACGUUGAUAGGCCGGGUGUGUAAGCGCAGCGAUGCGUUGAGCUAACCGGUACUAAUGAACCGUGAGGCUUAACCUUACAACGCCGAAG